GUAGGGUAUUGGCUUACCGUGGCAGUGACGGUUAACGGGGGAUUAGGGUUCGAUUCCGGAGAGGGAGCCUGAGAAACGGCUACCACAUCUAAGGAAGGCAGCAGGCGCGCAAAUUACCCAAUCCUAACAGCAUAAGGGAGGUAGUGACAAGAAAUAACAAUACAAGGCAAUUAAAAUGCUUUGUAAUUGGAAUGAUAGAAAUUUAAACACUUUCUAAAGUAUCAAUUGGAGGGCAAGUCUGGUGCCAGCAGCCGCGGUAAUUCCAGCUCCAAUAGCGUAUAUUAAAGUUGUUGCAGUUAAAAAGCUCGUAGUUGGAUUUCUGUUAAAAAUAACUGGUCUGCUUUUUAAUGAAAGUGGUACCUUGGUGUGUUUUUAGCAUUAAUGUCCUAUGAAAUGUUUUUUACUUUAUUGUUAAAAGCAAUAUUCAGGAUUUUUACUUUGAGAAAAUUAGAGUGUUUCAAGCAGGCUAACGUUUUGAAUACUGCAGCAUGGAAUAAUAAAAUAGGAUUUUGGUUCUACAUUAUUGGUUUUAAGAACUAAAUUAAUGAUUAAUAGGGACAGUUGGGGGCAUUUGUAUUUGACU
rnacentral:rRNA from 1 species